UGAAGAGUUAUCUGCAAAAAAAAUAUUCCUACGGUGAAUUAAAUCAUCAAGCAAACUUGGUUUAUAAAUAUUCCCAUCCCAUCAUUUUUACAAGAAUGUAAACCACACCUAAAAGCACAUUCCUUGUUUUGUAAGGAAAUACAGGGCGAUGCACACUUCGUCCCACGGUGCCAAGACUUAGCUUUAAAUUUGAUUUCAACCUUUUUGUUUUCCCUCUGUGCUGUAGUAUGAUUUCACAGUCCAUCCUCCCAUCUGUUGAAACAGAGAAGCGCUUGCAUUUUAGGCUGAGAUGACUAAUAUUCAUGAGGAAUGAAUCCAAAUUCAAACUAAAUGCACAUUUUUGCAUUUGUCCAAAGCUAGCCAUGAAUUAUCUCAGACUAUCAAUAGAAGAAGAGGAAAGUUACUAUCUGUAAAUCCCCACUUGUUUUCCCAAAUUGCACCCUUGGCAAUGGGUGUGACAGAAAAAUGUUCAGUAUUCCUCGUAGCCUAACCUGCCAAGAGAGAUAAAGCCACUUUGAUGUCCCGGGACAAGAGACUACACAGAUUUUUACCCGAAAUGGACCUCAAGCCCUUUUCAGAGAGGAACAGGCUAAAACGACCUGCCUGCUUCCUAGUCUGCGGAAUCCAGAAGAGAGACCAGCGGCCCCGCUGACUCCAGGAGGUGGCAGAUCUGAAGUUCAUAAAGUCUGCUUCAGAUCUCUGUGUUGUGCUGGAGGCUGAACAGCAGAGAGUCAGGGAGCUGGCCUUUGGACUGAAAUAGGCGGGGCUCAGACCUUGUCUCUGCCAGAUUGUCCGUGAUGUGUGUAUCUUAUGGAAUUAUCUGGUGAAAGGAUCGGUGUGAGUAAUAAGAACUAAGCUAACCCUCGGGGCGUUCCAAGGUAGGUGAGCCACCUCAUCAUGUAUCCACGGGUGACCAUUUAUUUGCAUUUGUAGAAUCAGGGCAAGCAGACCCACUUGCAUAAG